rnacentral:ncRNA from 1 species
AUCGUUAGGGGUGCCUUAAUAAUACGGGCUGAGAUCAUACCCAUAAAACCUGAUCCGGAUAAUGCCGGCGUAGGGAACAAAAAAAAUA